GGAGUCUGUGCAGAAAGGCUUCCAGAUGCUGGCGGAUCCCGGCUCCUUCGACUCCAACGCCUUCACGCUUCUCCUCCGGGCGGCAUUCCAGAGUCUGCUGGACGCCCAGGCGGACGAGGCCGUGUUAGAUCAUCCAGACUUGAAACAUAUCGACCCAGUGGUUUUAAAACAUUGUCAUGCAGCAGCUGCAACUUACAUACUAGAGGCAGGAAAGCACCGAGCUGACAAGUCAACUCUAAGCACUUAUCUAGAAGACUGUAAAUUUGACAGAGAGCGAAUAGAACUGUUUUGCACGGAAUAUCAGGUAUGAAUGGAGAGUGUUGGUGUGAAACAAGAUCUUCGGGAUCUUGACCCAAAGAAAAGGAGCCAAAGGGCAUGUCAAACAAUUGAAGUUAAGCUAAUGUUUUUAAAGAUAGUUUAUUGAGAUGAUUUUGAAAUGCUCCUUUACCAUUCAGAAUUUAAAAAUAAAGUUUAACAAUGGUUUAAAUUCAGAAUGGAUUAAAAUGGAGUUGGGGGUGGAAAGUAGAGCCAUUCUUAGUAAAUAAUAAAUAACUGAAAAGUUCUUUUGAGAAGACUAUGUACAAAGUUAUCAUUGCAUCUUUCAGUAUAGGCAGAUCGCUCCCUCAUAUAACGGAUGUUUCUUGGCGCUUGGAAUAUCAGAUAAAGACCAAUCAACUUCAUAGGAUGUACAGACCUGCAUAUUUGGUGACCUUAAGUGUACAGAACACUGAUUCCCCAUCCUAUCCAGAGAUUAGUUUUAGUUGCAGCAUGGAACAAUUACAGGACUUGGUGGGGAAACUUAAAGAUGCUUCGAAAAGCCUGGAAAGAGCAACUCAGUUGUAACUUGGGGAAGUUAACGAUCCGCCCGAGUGCAGAGGAAAACCAGAGACGCCUUGCCUUCAGCUGAACCACCGUUUGUGCGAGCUGGAUGUCCUUUUCAGUAGAAAAGAAUUUUCUUUUUGAAUUUAUGCCAUUCAUCAAUUUUGACACUUUAAAAACAUGUGUGAAAGGGUUAAGAGGGAAAGAUACUGCCCAAGUAUUUGAAUCGUUUAGUAGUAACUGUCCAUUUAUCCUAUUUUGAUCUUUUUCAAGUCUUCUGAAAGGAAGUAGACAGUAUUACACCCUGAAUAAAUAAGGUGGUGUUUUCCACAAA
rnacentral:sRNA from 1 species